UACGAAGGGUGCAAACGUUGCUCGGAAUCAUUGGGCGUAAAGCGCACGUAGGCGGCUCCGCAAGUCGGAUGUGAGAUCCCUCGGCUCAACCGAGGACGUGCAUCCGAAACUGCAGAGCUUGAGUAUGGAAGAGGGUCGCGGAAUCCCCGGUGUAGAGGUGAAAUUCGUAGAUAUCUGGAGGAACACCGGUGGCGAAGGCGGCAUCCUGGACCAACACUGACGCUGAGUGAGCGAAAGCCAGGGGAGCAAACGGG
rnacentral:rRNA from 1 species